UUCCGAAAGCAGCCUAGCAUGUUGAUAAAGGCCUUUACACACAAAAUGCCGUAAGAACGUAAAACGUAAGCUUAAGAAAAUCGAUCAAUAUCCCAAUCGAGUAUUUUCCCCUAUUGGGGUUUUACGGACAUCAGUACAAUACUUGAUUGGAGUUGGUCGGGUUUCUUACGUACGCUUACGUUUUACGUCCUUACGCGAUUUUAUGUGUAAAGGCCUUAAAGCCCGGUCUACAUAGGCCGCAGUUCGCAAAACGCAAGACACACGCACAGUCUACAUGUCAAUCUAACCUCUCUGUGUAUAGAGGUUAGAUUGACAUGUAGACUGUGCGUGUGUCCACGUGUGUCUUGCUGGGACUCUUGAGCGGCAUGGUUAUGUUCCGAGUUUCUUGUGGAAAAUUGAGAUUUUGUGAAAAAUUGUUGACCCGCGUUCACGCCUUCCUUUUGUCACACCUCUCUGUUUAAAAAAGAGGAAGAAGAAAAAGAAGUGCAUGGAGGGGUAGUAAAUUAUAACGAAUACUUAUAUGUGUAAAUCGACAACUAUUAGUGAUGGAUGGCAGUGUAGUAAUGGAUGAAUACUAUAAUAAUGCGCCUUAAUUGCUUCUAAACAAGAAUAAUUUUCUGAAACUGAUUAAUCUAUAAACAAGAAAGAAAUAAAAUUCUUAUCAGCGUCCGCAGCACUAAAAAAAUUAAUAAACGGGAAGGUUUAUUAUCAGAUGUACUUAACAACUCGGUUUCUAAAAUAGUUUUCUGGAUUAGACGUUUAGACAUUUGUAUUAAAGCUCCUUUCGGACCAGUUAAUUUCUGCUUUAGCACAAAAAUUCCAUUUUCAUAAGGGAAAGCAGAAGUCGAAGAGAGUGGGCCACUUUUAUAUACGUUAUCAACAACAUGA